rnacentral:rRNA from 1 species
AUCCGGGGGGUGCAAGCGUUAAUCGGAAUUACUGGGCGUAAAGCGCGCGUAGGCGGUUUGCUCAGUCGGAUGUGAAAGCCCAGGGCUCAACCUUGGAACUGCAUACGAUACUGGCAAACUAGAGUGUGAGAGAGGAUAGUGGAAUUUCCGGUGUAGCGGUGAAAUGCGUAGAUAUCGGAAGGAACAUCAGUGGCGAAGGCGACUGUCUGGCUCAACACUGACGCUGAGGUGCGAAAGCGUGGGUAGCAAACAGGAUUAGAAACCCUUGUAGUCC